AGACCCGAAACCCGGUGAUCUAGCCAUGGGCAGGUUGAAGGUUGGGUAACACUAACUGGAGGACCGAACCGACUAAUGUUGAAAAAUUAGCGGAUGACCUGUGGCUGGGGGUGAAAGGCCAAUCAAACCGGGAGAUAGCUGGUUCUCCCCGAAAGCUAUUUAGGUAGCGCCUCGUGAAUUCAUCUCCGGGGGUAGAGCACUGUUUCGGCUAGGGGGCCAUCCCGGCUUACCAACCCGAUGCAAACUGCGAAUACCGGAGAAUGUUAUCACGGGAGACACACGGCGGGUGCUAACGUCCGUCGUGAAGAGGGAAACAACCCAGACCGCCAGCUAAGGUCCCAAAGUCAUGGUUAAGUGGGAAACGAUGUGGGAAGGCCCAGACAGCCAGGAUGUUGGCUUAGAAGCAGCCAUCAUUUAAAGAAAGCGUAAUAGCUCACUGGUCGAGUCGGCCUGCGCGGAAGAUGUAACGGGGCUAAACCAUGCACCGAAGCUGCGGCAGCGAACGUAUCACCCAAGACAACUUUACGGAGUUGACGAUUGACGGAGCGAAGCGACGUCAAAGCGUUCAUUAAAGUCGAGUUGGCUUAGGGAUACGUUCGUUGGGUAGGGGAGCGUUCUGUAAGCCUGUGAAGGUGUGUCGUGAGGCAUGCUGGAGGUAUCAGAAGUGCGAAUGCUGACAUAAGUAACGAUAAAGCGGGUGAAAAGCCCGCUCGCCGGAAGACCAAGGGUUCCUGUCCAACGUUAAUCGGGGCAGGGUGAGUCGACCCCUAAGGCGAGGCCGAAAGGCGUAGUCGAUGGGAAACGGGUUAAUAUUCCCGUACUUGGUGUUACUGCGAAGGGGGGACGGAGAAGGCUAUGUUGGCCGGGCGACGGUUGUCCCGGUUUAAGCGUGUAGGUGUGUGUUCCAGGUAAAUCCGGUUCACUUUAACACUGAGGCGUGACGACGAGGCACUACGGUGCUGAAGCAACAAAUGCCCUGCUUCCAGGAAAAGCCUCUAAGCAUCAGGUAACACGAAAUCGUACCCCAAACCGACACAGGUGGUCAGGUAGAGAAUACCAAGGCGCUUGAGAGAACUCGGGUGAAGGAACUAGGCAAAAUGGUGCCGUAACUUCGGGAGAAGGCACGCUGACACGUAGGUGAAGUGAUUUACUCAUGGAGCUGAAGUCAGUCGAAGAUACCAGCUGGCUGCAACUGUUUAUUAAAAACACAGCACUGU
rnacentral:rRNA from 1 species